ACGGUUUGUGCGACGCAGCUAACGCAUUAAGCGCCCCGCCUGGGGAGUACGAUCGCAAGAUUAAAACUCAAAGGAAUUGACGGGGCCCCGCACAAGCAGCGGAGCAUGCGGCUUAAUUCGACGCAACGCGAAGAACCUUACCAAGGCUUGACAUAUACAGGAAUAUGGCAGAGAUGUCAUAGCCGCAAGGUCUGUAUACAGGUGGUGCAUGGUUGUCGUCAGCUCGUGUCGUGAGAUGUUGGGUUAAGUCCCGCAACGAGCGCAACCCUCGUUCUGUGUUGCCAGCAUUUAGUUGGGGACUCACAGGAGACUGCCGGGGUUAACUCGGAGGAAGGUGGGGAUGACGUCAAAUCAUCAUGCCCCUUAUGUCUUGGGCUGCACGCAUGCUACAAUGGCUGGUACAUACGGCUGCGAUACCGCAAGGUGGAGCGAAUCCGAUAAAGCCAGUCUCAGUUCGGAUUGGGGUCUGCAACUCGACCCCAUGAAGUCGGAGUUGCUAGUAAUCGUAGAUCAGCAACGCUACGGUGAAUACGUUCCCGGGGCUUGUACACACCGCCCGUCACAUCACGAAAGUCGGUAACACCCAAAGUCAGUGGCCCAACCGCAAGGAG
rnacentral:rRNA from 1 species